GCUAAACGCUGUGUUGAUUAUUGAAAAUUUAGCUUAUUUAUCAUAAUUUGUUAAAAUACUCAAUGUAUUUUGAUAAAUAAAUAAUAUUCCAACAUUUUUUCAAAUGUGGUAAAGUGAGAACGAGAUUAAAAUGAGUAAUAUUUACAUUCAAGAACCGCCCGCGCUUGGAAAGGUGCUAUUAAAAACAUCAGCGGGUGAAAUUGACAUAGAGUUAUGGACAAAAGAGGCCCCCAAAGCGAGCCGCAAUUUCAUACAACUAUGUAUGGAAGGAUACUAUAAUGGUACAAUAUUCCACCGGGUGGUGCCAGGGUUUAUAGCACAAGGCGGGGAUCCAAAUGGAGACGGUACGGGCGGAGAAUCCAUCUACGGAGCACCAUUCAAAGAUGAGUUCCACACUCGUCUCCGGUUUAACCGUAGAGGUCUCGUGGCCAUGGCCAACGCUGGGAAGGACGACAAUGGCUCUCAGUUCUUCAUUACUCUCGGGGCCACUCCGGAGCUGCAAAACAAGCACACCAUCUUUGGGAAGGUCACCGGUGAAACCAUCUACAACGUGUUGAAACUAACGGAAGGCCUCAUCGGUCCUGACGACCGGCCGGAACAUCCACACAAAAUAACCGGAGCUACAGUCAUUAUUAAUCCGUUCGACGAUAUUCAACCGAGGGUCGCGGCCACUAAACCUGUAGAGGUUACUAAGAAGAAGAAAGAACGGGCGGCGGCUGUUAAAAACUUCGGUCUACUAUCAUUCGGCGAAGAAGCAGAAGAAGACGAGGGGGAAGCCAUGGAGUACAGAGGGAAGCCCAAGUCCACCCACGACCUUCUAGAAGAUCCUAAACUCAGCAAGAUGACUGCCGCUGAAUUAGAACUAGAAGAACGAAAUCAAAGCGAAAAACCUCCAACUCAAGAGGAACUAAACGAAAAAGAAGAGGAAACAGCAGCCGCAGUCUCGAGUAUAAGACAUAAACUUAAGAGGAAAAGUCCAGAGAGAAAGAGUGAAAGCCCAGAAGGAAAAAGAAGGAAGAGUCAGAGUGAUGAAGAAGAGUAUUAUAUUGGGAUGGACAGAGAUAAGGAGAGGAGGAAGGAAAGAGACAGAAUAAGAAACGAAAUAAAGCAACUCAAAAAAGAGAUGAACGCGCCCAAAGAAGACAAACAGGAGGAAAAAGAAGUAGAGAAAGAAGAUAAAAAGAAAAUUAAAGAAGACAACGAGAUGUACAAGGAUUAUGUGGAAGAACAGGAGAAAUAUAAGAAGAUGAAGGAGAAAUUACCGAAGAAAGGGGCUGCCAGAGAAAGCUUCACGUUAGAGCUACUCGCUAAGUUCAAGAACAAACUGCACGCUAUAAAAGAAAAGGCUUCCACUUCGGAGGCCGAGCCGACGGCGAGUACGGAAGGAGCCGAGGAUGACAACCUUAAUAGUGACGACUGGCUCGGUCACAAACUUCGGUUCGAAGAAAAAGGGCCCCUUCUAGCGAAAGAUGCAUCCACGAAAGGAGACGACUGGUUCGACAUAUACGACCCGAGGAACCCGCUCAAUAAGAGGAAGAGAGAGAACACUGAUAAAAAGAGCAAGAAAUAGUGUUAAUUUAACGUUUUUGGGACCCCUUGGUGACUUCUUCCUAGAAAAUUUCAAAGUCAAAGUAUGUUUAAAUAGACUUUGAAGUUGUGUUGUGUUAAGUAAGAAAUACCUAGUGUAACUUUAGGAAAAAUACAAUAUUUUAUAAAUAA
rnacentral:misc_RNA from 1 species